CAUUAUAACUCAGUCGGUAGAGUGCAUGGCUUUUAACCACAUGGUCGUGGGCUCGAUUCCCAUAAAUG
rnacentral:tRNA from 1 species